AACGAACGCUGGCGGCAGGCUUAACACAUGCAAGUCGAACGCAUCGCAAGAUGAGUGGCAGACGGGUGAGUAACGCGUGGGAACAUACCCUUUUCUACGGAAUAGCUCUGGGAAACUGGAAUUAAUACCGUAUACGCCCUACGGGGGCAAGAGUUAUCGGGGAAGGAUUGGCCCGCGUUGGAUUAGCUAGUUGGUGGGGUAAAGGCCUACCAAGGCGACGAUCCAUAGCUGGUCUGAGAGGAUGAUCAGCCACAUUGGGACUGAGACACGGCCCAAACUCCUACGGGAGGCAGCAGUGGGGAAUAUUGGACAAUGGGCGCAGGCCUGAUCCAGCCAUGCCGCGUGAGUGAUGAAGGCCUUAGGGUUGUAAAGCUCUUUCACCGAUGAAGAUAAUGACGGUAGUCGGAGAAGAAGCCCCGGCUAACUUCGUGCCAGCCGCCGCGGUAAAAC
rnacentral:rRNA from 1 species